AGAGUUUGAUCCUGGCUCAGAUUGAACGCUGGCGGCAGGCUUAACACAUGCAAGUCGAGCGGAAACGAGAAUAGCUUGCUAUUCGGCGUCGAGCGGCGGACGGGUGAGUAAUGCUUGGGAAUAUGCCUUAAGGUGGGGGACAACAGUUGGAAACGACUGCUAAUACCGCAUAAUGUCUACGGACCAAAGGAGGGGAUUCUUCGGAACCUUUCGCCUUUUGAUUAGCCCAAGUGAGAUUAGCUAGUAGGUAAGGUAAUGGCUUACCUAGGCGACGAUCUCUAGCUGGUUUGAGAGGAUGAUCAGCCACACUGGGACUGAGACACGGCCCAGACUCCUACGGGAGGCAGCAGUGGGGAAUAUUGCACAAUGGGCGAAAGCCUGAUGCAGCCAUGCCGCGUGUGUGAAGAAGGCCUUCGGGUUGUAAAGCACUUUCAGCGAGGAGGAUAGGGUAUAGAUUAAUACUCUAUAUCUGUGACGUUACUCGCAGAAGAAGCACCGGCUAACUUCGUGCCAGCAGCCGCGGUAAUACGAGGGGUGCAAGCGUUAAUCGGAAUUACUGGGCGUAAAGCGUGCGUAGGCGGUUUGUUAAGCAAGAUGUGAAAGCCCCCGGGCUCAACCUGGGAACUGCAUUUUGAACUGGCAAGCUAGAAUCUUGUAGAGGGUAGUGGAAUUUCCAGUGUAGCGGUGAAAUGCGUAGAGAUUGGAAGGAACAUCAGUGGCGAAGGCGGCUACCUGGGACAAAGAUUGACGCUGAGGCACGAAAGCGUGGGGAGCAAACAGGAUUAGAUACCCCCGGUAGUCCACGCCGUAAACGAUGUCAACUAGCCGUCUGUGGUCUU
rnacentral:rRNA from 1 species